UAUAUUUGUUUUCCCUUUCUCUGUUUCUAGGAUGCCUUUGCCAAAGGUGAGGUGUUUUUGGGGAAUAAGGACCACGGUUACAGCGUCUUCCCUUGUCUUCCUGCUGGCACCCAUUGCAAUGGCGCCUGGCAACAUGGUAUCACAAUAGAAACCCCUGACCGCAGCUUCCUCUUUACAUGUGAAACGGAGAGUGACCAGCAGGAUUGGCUGAAGCACUUCAAUGAUGUCUUGAGUGCACCAAUGUCCCCCAGGACUUCACAAUGGAAGCCCUGUUCAAGCACAGGCAUUGAUGGACCAGCGGCCCCUGAGACCAUCUCCUUUCUUCUCAGCCUAUCACAGAUCUGACACAGGAACUACAUCUGUUCUUUUACUGACUGCUAAAUGGAUUUUGAAAUCUUGUUGUAAAAUCUUGUUCAACCCUUUAUGUUGGACGGUAAGGUUAUUUUUUCUUUUAAACGUGAGAGCAGAUUUGUCAAUCUGAAAUAUAACAAUAUAACACAUUGCUAAAUCGAAUCAUUAAACUAUUAAUAAUAAUAAACAGAUAAUUAAAUGGGCUGAAAUAUAACAGAUUAUCAAGUGACAGAAAACAAUUGUAUCUUUGGAGUCAGAGCUCCUUUUUAUUUUUUCUACACUUUUUAUACUAAAAGUAAUCAAAUUAAUUGGUUGUUUCAUUUUGACCUUAUAAUUACUCUAAUUCCUUAAAACAUUUAGAUUCAGUGUAAGUAUUUCAGCUAACUUCAUGCCUCUUGUUGCUCAUUGUUCUGUAUCAGCAUUACAAAAUAUGAACAAACCUUUUUUUUCCAUAUUUUGCAGCAGUAUAUUUAGACACACUACCUGUACAGUUUAUAUCAUAAAAAGAACAAAACUUUUAUCAUUUUGGGUUUUUUGUGCUGAGGCAAAUGUUAAUUUUGUAAUUAAGUUUUUAGGAAAAAAUAAGUGUUUUCAUCAUCAACAAUAAAGGAGAUUUACGAAUGCCUUUGGAUAGAAAACAUGGAAACACUGUCGGCCUUUUCAUGGUUUAACAGUGCCCCCAUGUGGCAAACACAACAUAUAUUAAGUUCUUGAUGAUAAUGAUAAAAAACAAAUGUCCUUUUAACUAUUCUUCUUAGAUAUCGCAUAGAUAAAUGGUAGUUUUUUUUUUUCCUUUUCCAGUUUUGGUUAUAGAAAUAAUUACACUAAAUGUUGAUCCACUAGUAUUUUUCUUUGAUUGUAUGUUUGUUUUUACAAAAAAAAGAAAUAUGUCUGGCUGACAACACAUACAACUAUUGAUGAUCACUAAUAAAAAAUAAUUUCUUUGGAAGUUUU